rnacentral:rRNA from 1 species
GACGAACGCUGGCGGCGUGCUUAACACAUGCAAGUCGAACGGAAAGGCCCUGCUUUUGUGGGGUGCUCGAGUGGCGAACGGGUGAGUAACACGUGAGUAACCUGCCCUUGACUUUGGGAUAACUUCAGGAAACUGAGGCUAAUACCGGAUAGGAGCUCCUGCUGCAUGGUGGGGGUUGGAAAGUUUCGGCGGUUGGGGAUGGACUCGCGGCUUAUCAGCUUGUUGGUGGGGUAGUGGCUUACCAAGGCUUUGACGGGUAGCCGGCCUGAGAGGGUGACCGGCCACAUUGGGACUGAGAUACGGCCCAGACUCCUACGGGAGGCAGCAGUGGGGAAUAUUGCACAAUGGGCGGAAGCCUGAUGCAGCAACGCCGCGUGCGGGAUGACGGCCUUCGGGUUGUAAACCGCUUUCGCCUGUGACGAAGCGUGAGUGACGGUAAUGGGUAAAGAAGCACCGGCUAACUACGU